rnacentral:rRNA from 1 species
AGAUUGAACGCUGGCGGCAUGCCUUACACAUGCAAGUCGAACGGCAGCACGGGAGCAAUCCUGGUGGCGAGUGGCGAACGGGUGAGUAAUACAUCGGAACGUGCCCAAUCGUGGGGGGAUAACGCAGCGAAAGCUGUGCUAAUACCGCAUAAGAUCUACGGAUGAAAGCAGGGGAUCGCAAGACCUUGCGCGAAUGGAGCGGCCGAUGGCAGAUUAGGUAAGUUGGUGAGGUAAAGGCUCACCAAGCCUUCGAUCUGUAGCUGGUCUGAGAGGACGACCAGCCACACUGGGACUGAGACACGGGCCCAGACUCCUACGGGAGGCAGCAGUGGGAAGUUUUGACGAAUGGGCGAAAGCCUGAUCAGCCAUGCCGCGUGCAGAUGAAGGCCGUUCGGUUAGUAAACGUGUACGUUUUUGUACGG